GUCGUGGGUCGUGGGUAGAAUGUCGUGGGUCGUGGGUAAAAAGUCGUGGGUCGUGGGUAAAAAGUCGUGAGUCGUGGGUAAAAAGGCGUGGGUCGUGGGUAAAAAGGCGUGGGUCGUGGGUAAAAAGGCGUGGGUCGUGGGUAAAAAGGCGUGGGUCCCGAAUACAAAGGGGACUAGCUAACAGUCGUGGGUCGUGGGUAGAAUGUCGUGGGUAAAAAGGCGUGGGUCGUGGGUAAAAAGGCGUGGGUCGUGGGUAAAAAGGCGUGGGUCGUGGGUAAAAAGGCGUGGGUCGUGGGUAAAAAGGCGUGGGUCGUGGGUAAAAAAUCGUGGGUCCCGAAUAAAAAGUCGUGGGUUCCAAGCAAAAUAUUUCCAUAUAUUUACCUUUCUCCCUUUGGAAUGCGUGUUUUUUUUUCUUCUGAGGCUUUCCCAAACUAUGCCCAAAUAUGCAUAGCUUAGAGCGCGUUAAGGCCGGGUUUUUGAUAUCGGCAGAUCGGUUUAUAAAUAUUAUAACCAAGUGUGGAUGAAACAGUUCAACUUCAAGCCCCAUAUAGCUCAAAUAUUUGGACGUUAUAAUCUUAUAGACAGAUAAAUAUUGUAAUUCUUCAAUAGGAAAUAGUGCUGUCAAGCCUGUCAUAAAUAGCUAAAUUCUGACAUUCAGGGCUUCACUAAUUUGUUGAUCGAUGUUCUUACAGUAAUAAGCGAGAAAUUUCCACUUGGACAGUGUUAAUUUAAUGCAAUGUCUGUUAAUUUACUAGGGAAAAAUAAAAGAAAGCAUUUGAGAGAUUUCAC